rnacentral:rRNA from 1 species
UACGAACUGUGCAAACGUUAUUCGGAAUCACUGGGCUUAAAGGGUGCGUAGGCGGCCAUUUAAGUAGGGUGUGAAAGCCCCCGGCUCAACCGGGGAAUUGCGUCCUAAACUGGGUGGCUCGAGUGAGAUAGAGGUGUGUGGAACUUCCGGUGGAGCGGUGAAAUGUGUUGAUAUCGGAAGGAACGCCGGUGGCGAAAGCGACACACUGGGUCUCAACUGACGCUGAGGCACGAAAGCCAGGGGAGCAAACGGG